GCCGGGGUAGCUCAGCCUUGGCCAGAAAACUUUUUAAGGCUAAAGCGUUGGACUCAUAAUCCAGAGGUCGCGGGUUCAAAUCCCGCCCCCGGCACCA
rnacentral:tRNA from 1 species